CCAAUAGCGUAUAUUAAAGUUGUUGCAGUUAAAAAGCUCGUAGUUGAAUUUCGGGAUUAGUAGGUUGGUCGUGCCUCAGGUAUGUACUGAUCUCACUGAUUCCUCCUUCCUGAUGAACCGUAAUGCCAUUAAUUUGGUGUUGCGGGGAAACUGGACUGUUACUUUGAAAAAAUUAGAGUGUUUAAAGCAGGCUAACGCUUGAAUACAUUAGCAUGGAAUAAUGAAAUAGGACGUUCGAUCCUAUUUUGUUGGUUUCUAGGAUUGACGUAAUGAUUAAUAGGGAUAGUUGGGGGCAUUAGUAUUCAAUUGUCAGAGGUGAAAUUCUUGGAUUUAUUGAAGACUAACUACUGCGAAAGCAUUUGCCAAGGAUGUUUUCAUUAAUCAAGAACGAAAGUUAGGGGAUCGAAGACGAUCAGAUACCGUCGUAGUCUUAACCAUAAACUAUGCCGACUAGGGAUCGGAUGAUGUUAAUUUUUUAAUGACUCAUUCGGCGCCUUACG
rnacentral:rRNA from 1 species